AUUGAACGCUGGCGGCAUGCCUAACACAUGCAAGUCGAACGAGGGGCGGACGGGUGAGUAAUGUCGGGGACACUGCCUUAUGGAGGGGGAUAACUCCUGGAACCGGUAGUUAAUACCGCAUACCAUCAGAUGUGCCCAGAUUGGAUUAGCUAGUUGGUGGGGUAACGGCUCACCAAGGCGAAGAUCCCUAGCUGGUCUGAGAGGAUGACCUGCCACACUGGAACUGAGACACGGUCCAGACUCCUACGGGAGGCAGCAGUGGGGAAUAUUGCACAAUGGGCGAAAGCCUGAUGCAGCCAUGCCGCGUGUAUGAAGAAGGCCUUCGGGUUGUAAAGUACUUUCAGCGGGGAGGCGUUACCCGCAGAAGAAGCAACGGCUAACUCCGUGCCAGCAGCCGCGGUAAUAC
rnacentral:rRNA from 1 species